rnacentral:rRNA from 1 species
UACGGAGGAUCCGAGCGUUAUCCGGAUUUAUUGGGUUUAAAGGGAGCGUAGGCGGGUUGUUAAGUCAGUUGUGAAAGUUUGCGGCUCAACCGUAAAAUUGCAGUUGAUACUGGCAUCCUUGAGUACAGUAGAGGUAGGCGGAAUUCGUGGUGUAGCGGUGAAAUGCAUAGAUAUCACGCAGAACGCCGAUUGCGAAGGCAGCAUACCGGCGCCCGACUGACGCUGAGGCACGAAAGCGUGGGGAUCGAACAGG